GAGUUUGAUCAUGGCUCAGAUUGAACGCUGGCGGCAUGCCUUACACAUGCAAGUCGAACGGCAGCACGGGAGCUUGCUCCUGGGUGGCGAGUGGCGAACGGGUGAGUAAUGCAUCGGGAACGUAUCCUGGAGUGGGGGAUAACGUAGCGAAGUUACGCUAAUACCGCAUAUUCUGUGAGCAGGAAAGCGGGGGACCUUCGGGCCUCGCGCUCUUGGAGCGGCCGAUGUCGGAUUAGCUAGUUGGUGAGGUAAAGGCUCACCAAGGCGACGAUCCGUAGCAGGUCUGAGAGGAUGAUCUGCCACGCUGGAACUGAGACACGGUCCAGACUCCUACGGGAGGCAGCAGGUGGGGAAUUUGGACAAUGGGGGCAACCCUGAUCCAGCCAUGCCGCGUGAGUG
rnacentral:rRNA from 1 species